rnacentral:tRNA from 1 species
GGCUUCGUAGGCCAAAGUUAGAUCUAAGCGACGGUUUCCUAAACCGUAGGUCGGAAGUUCGAGUCUUCCCGGGAUCGCCA